rnacentral:lncRNA from 1 species
ACUCAGAAUAGGGAAAGAUAAACACAAAUCAAAACGCACAAAGGACAGCUUGGUGGUUCCUUUGGAGCCGUGAACAUUCCAUGGUACCUGGCACUGCUUUAGAAAGCAAAUGACAGAACUAUACUCCAAAGCCAAGGGACAGGGGAUGUAGCUCUGGGCCAGCUUAGAUGACUUACUUUGUUACUGACUCCUUUCAGCAGCUAAAGAAAGACUCCUUAUGGGCGAGCAAGUGUGUAUAAUACACAUAUUCUUUAAUAGUGUGUACAGAAGGCUAUGAGAAUACUUCAGGCCUCAGUAUCUUGUUUAUGGUGAGAAAAUUUUUCUGACAAUUGUAGGAAAAGAGGAACUGCUGCCAUCCUGAGAAUUCCACAUGGAAUCAGUCUCUCUCUCUCUCCCUCUCUCUCUCCCUCUCUCUCUCUCUCUCUCUCACACACACACACACACACACACACACACACACACAGUCACCAGUAGAGAGUUCUUCAGGAGGCGUGGUCAAGGGUCCUCUGGGUAACAUCAACCUGUUAGGAUGAAGAGCAAAUGUCCGUGUGUGACGCUGCAUGGUCCUGUUGAAAGUAGUGCAGAAAUAGUAUCCAUAACGCAUGUGCUUCACGCCAGCAACUCUUCCUCUGUUACCUCACUUCCUCACAGCGUCCACAGGAGGCAGCUCCCACAAUCAGCGGGGAUGAUAAGUUGGGACAGUGCUAUGGUCAGUGACUCACUGGGGGUGACACUGCCCUUUAGCAGUAAGGGCAGAAGCUGACCUGUCUCUCCUGAUGCUGUAGGGUGCUCUGGGCUACUAAGGGUGCUCUUCAUCUUUAUUGGCAUGUGGGAAGAGACAAACGAUGAGCACCGACUUACUCCUUGGGAGGCCAGUGCACUGUGCUUACAGCACCAGCUAUGACUAGGCUUGCCUUUGCUGGUGAGCCAGUACUCCUUGACAGGGUGUGCACUCUCAAGUUAGAGGCUAUCUGAACUAGAAGGGCAGGAAGCAGUGAAAACCUCAGAUGUGAAGAGGCAAGGCAGGCCACUCUCCACAACCCUGAGGUUUCCCUGGGAAGAGCCCCUGGCUGAACUACACAGCCUGCAGAGAGCUCUCUAGUCUUAGUCUGAGGCACCUAGGGACCUAGGACACUAAGUCCCUCCCUCCCCAGGGCUGUCUGCCAUUGGUGAGUCAGAGUAAGCUUGGAAGUGCCACAGCAUGCUGUAGGGGAGGAGCUAGGAGCUGUGCUGUGGGCAUGCAUGCUUGAGGCCACAAGCAUUCUGUGGUAAGUGCUUUGUAGUUUGUUCUCAGGCUGUGCUGUGAGGGCCGCCUUAACCCUUGCCCCUUCCCUUUUAGAGCUGCCUUAAGUUCGCCAGAACUUGUCCUCAGUGAGGGGUAUCUUGCCAUGUUUCUCAAGGUUUUGUAAGGAUUUGGAUUGGGUGUGGCUUCCAACCACUAAGUCCUUUCUCCCCUUCCUGCAUCUCCUGCUACCUAUGUGCUGCCAUUUCCAACCAGAGGUUAGAAUUUAUAAAGCAACCAAUGAAAUGUUAGCUUUAGGAAUAUUUCUGGGUUAGUGCAACUCCCUGUAACAGUAAGCAAAUUAGCAUGCAUGGAAGCAGGGUGGAAGUCAGAGUAUUCGUGGGUGUCUUGCCUUUAACUCUUUCUAAUAAAGGCAAAAAUACAACUCUAAAAACUUUGUGUGGACAUCCUUUUAAACUGUAAGGUGCCCUACUGUAAAAGGCUGAGUAAAAACAAGAAAGUAGCUGUAUUAAGUUCUAAUCCAUUACAGUACCUAAAGUCACUUUAGAAUUAUAGUCAAUAGGUCAAAAAGCAAAAGAUGCCAUGUCAAACAGCUCCCAGAUGUAUUUUAUAUUUUUUUAAUUGUAUAAUUUGGUCUCCUAAAAAAUGUUCAUUAGCUUAACUUAAUGGGUAGAAUUAGACUCAUAACAUAUCUGAAAACAGCUAACAUUUCCUUGGCAUUGUGAUAUUGUUUGGAAUAGUUGGGGAAAUUUUAGGUUUGUUUUUUGAAGGUUGAAAUUACCGUGUAUAAUUUAAUGCUUGGAAAGUGAAUACAGCCCCGUGCAUUUUCCAGAGUCAGUAGUUUCAAAUAACUUAUUGUUACUAUGUGUAAUAAAAUCUUAGCCUCUCUAAGUCAUGUGAGACAUUUUUCCCACAAAAGGUGAUUUCUCCUUUAAAUGUGGAUAUGUGUUGUGGUUGUGAUUUAUGAUCCACAAUUAUGUUCUUUUGUUGGUUCCUGAAAUAACAAUAAUUUUCUUGUGUUUUUGGAAAGUUCCAGUUGUUGCAGCAGUAUUGUACAGAUGGGCUCAUGGCAUUUAACAUACUGUGGUUUUAUCUUAACUCUUUAGCACUUAUUGUGAAAUGCACCUGCCUUUGAAAUACAGUAAAUGGGACGUUGCAGUUUUCGAAUCUUUUUCUUCCUUGGAUCUGGAGAAAGAAUUUUCUUGACCUACACAGUUCAUCUCUGCACAGUGGUUAGUUGAGGAAGCAGAAGUGAUGAAAGGUGAGAGGUACAGCCAAGCCUCUCUGGAAUUAAACUGAGCCCAUUCUAGAGCCGCACGGGAGGUCUUCUAGAAGGCUAAUAAUUCACCUCAUAGCAACAAAAGCCUUGGAAACAUGAGUUUUUCACUGGGUAUUACCUAAUGCUAAAAGGAAAGCCAAAACAAUAUCAGAAUGACAUUUUAUGCUCUAAAUUUAUAGCUGUCUAAUGUGCUUAGUGUGUAUCUGUCAUUAGUGCUGUAUUCUCCUAGCUAUUGUAGAAAAUUGUUGAAAUAAAGAUAAGGAUAU